rnacentral:rRNA from 1 species
UGCGGAAGGAUCAUUACCUAGAGUUGUAGGCUUUGCCUGCUAUCUCUUACCCAUGUCUUUUGAGUACCUUACGUUUCCUCGGUGGGUUCGCCCACCGAUUGGACAAAUUUAAACCCUUUGCAGUUGAAAUCAGCGUCUGAAAAAACUUAAUAGUUACAACUUUCAACAACGGAUCUCUUGGUUCUGGCAUCGAUGAAGAACGCAGCGAAAUGCGAUAAGUAGUGUGAAUUGCAGAAUUCAGUGAAUCAUCGAAUCUUUGAACGCACAUUGCGCCCCUUGGUAUUCCAUGGGGCAUGCCUGUUCGAGCGUCAUUUGUACCUUCAAGCUCUGCUUGGUGUUGGGUGUUUGUCUCCUGUAGACUCGCCUCAAAACAAUUGGCAGCCGGCGUAUUGAUUUCGGAGCGCAGUACAUCUCGCGCUUUGCACUCAUAACGACGACAUCCAAAAGUACAUUUUUACACUCUUGACCUCGGAUCAGGUAGGGAUACCCGCUGAACUUAAGCAUAU